CGGCGGAGCACGGGACGCGGACGAGGAGCCGGCAGCAAAGACGGCAGCAGACGUGCUUUUUUAAACAAUGCGGAGAUGCCGGCAGCUCCUCCUGCCUCUUCACCUUCUGCAUAGACAUAUUAGAACAUCAUAAGAUAAGAGAUUUAACUAUCCCCUCAUUUUGUGGGAGGGGAGGUGAAUCUGUACAGGCUGCAUCUCCCCCAGCUGACGGAUUGAUGCUGAAGUGUUGAAGUCACGGAGGGCUGCAUGAGCGGCUCAGCGGCCCGUUGGCUCACGCAGGACGCCGCCGAUGCUGCUUGUUUUACCUGAGAAAUAGGAUGCUAAUCCCUUUGAUGCAUUUGUGGAGGCGGGAGGGGCGGACUUCCUGUCUGUCAGCUUCCCCGUGCCAAAAACAAAGCUCCUCGGCUAAAAGCGCCAACAUGCUACAAAGAUAGCGGCAUCCUUUGUGACAUGUGAAUUACAGCACAGUAUAUAUGAUGCUUCUACUUACGACUAACAAGAGCAGCAGCAGUUCCAGGAACAGGAACUUCCCCUUCGUUUCAGACCCAUGACUCUGUUAUGGAGAGUCCUGCUCUCUAAUGGAGUCAGAGUCCGACACAGACCACAAGGCCGCUAAAUUAGGGAAGUCAUCAUCAGCGGCAGACAAACGACGGUUAGCUCGGCUCCUGACUCCCAAAUGCGGAAAACCAACGGGGUCACGGUCCGUCUCCUCUUCGCCGCCGCCCCGUUUUGAUCUGGCCUUGCAGUGUAUCGCCAGACGCCCUUGCAAACAUUAUUCGAAAGCAGCUUCAUGCUGGUGCCGGGCAACCUGCCAAAGGCCGUUGACAAACCUGCCAGCGUGGGUUGUUUGCUGUCAGCGCGCAGGUCAGCAUUCGCAUACGUACGGAGGUUCCAGCACCGAGCAGGUUUCAUAUAGUUACUUCUUGUAUAAAACUCCAAGCUCUAAUUUGAACUGCUUUACAUUCAUUAAAACACGUUGCUGUAUCUGUCAGACCAAAGUUGUGGCUACAAACCGCUAACUAAUAAAAUAUCAAACUCAUUGCCAAUAAAAUGUCUGUCAAUCAUGUAUUCAAGCAGUCAACUAAUUGCUGCACCGCCAGAGCUUUCUGAGUGUCUGGGGAAAUUAUAACAUGGCUGAAUGUAAUGGGGGUCAACAGGGGCCCAAGAAGAAAUUAUAGCCCCAGGGCCUCUUAGGAGGUUAAUCUGGCCACGGUACACUUGAAAUGAAGUACUGUAGUAGCUACUGGAGUGUCUUUGUCUCAUGAAUGAGUUUUUUAGAAUGCAACGAUACAAAGCAAUGGGUUUAUUUUCGGAGGUUCAAAGAAACACUUCAAGGGUCGUUAUUGUAUGUCUUUGUCACCUUCACGCACACACACACACACACACACACACACACACACACACACACGCAACUCAUUUAUAUGUGACAGUGGGAACGGAGAAGGCUCGAGUCUCCACCAAAUCCCUAAAAGCUGUCACCGACUUCAAACACUGAGUUCUUCACAGUGGAGCGCCUCCGCCGGGCGACACAGCCGCCUGUCUUUAAUUUUCCAUAGGAGCCCCUUUGAUACGGCCUGUGCAGUCCGGAGACAGCGCACAGCAAGGUAGAUCAGGACUGAGUGUGUAUAUGUUACAUAGAACCAUGUGAAAUACAGUAUACAAACACACACACCAGCACCAGACAUGAACUUUGAUAAGAAUCCUUAGCAAAACAUGUUUAAGUAGAUGAGGGAGAAGGUAGAAAGUCCUGCAUCAGAGCAUCAGUCCACAGAAUUAUCAUUUACAGAUUUAAACACUGUAUUAAUUUUCAUGAGGCAUGGGUAAUUUAUGAGUGGUGUGGGACCGUGCGUAUCUAUCAGUGUCAGAGUGACAUGUGUGGGGCGAUAAUCUAUUCUAUGACCCAAAUUGUUGAAAGGCUACAAAACCGCGCUGCAGCCCUCCCAUCCGAUUUCACAGCUCAUCACUGUCAGAACCGUAGACUGCACACGCGCAUGUGUGUGUGUGUCUGUGUGUGUGAGUGAGGAUAUGAUAAGAGGAAUGUGUUAUCCAUCUUAUCCAGAGGAGAUGUUUUGAAAGGAACUCUGUUAUUAAUAAAUGCAUGAGAGCCAACAGAAAAAGGAACAUUCUGCCGCUUUGCAGAAAUAAAGAGCAAGAGAGAGAGGGAGAGAGGGAGGAAGCUUGUUAGCAUUCUCCGAGACGCGGCUCGUGCUAGGAGCUACGUCCUCAAUGGGAGACGCAUUAGAUCUGGUUAGCGCGCCUAUCUGUUAUUCACAGCUCUGAGAGAAACACUGGUGGCGAGAUCAACGGCAGUCACUUACAAUAUAUCCCGGAGCAACAUCGUCUCAUUCAUGUGCAAAAGAAUCCUUAAUAACCACGGCUGGAGAUAGUGGAGAGGCUGCGAAGUUGGCAAAAAGCUUGUGGAGGCGCAGAGCUUUGAUUUCCAUGGUUGGUAUGGAUUCAAUGCAAACUUGAUUAAGAAGUGGGAAUAAAGACGAGGAGGUCGGGGAUUGUUUUGAAUGUAUUAUUUAAUAUAAAGUAAUUUAUGGGCUUUGUAUAAUGGAGAUGCUCAAUAAAAGGGAAUCUUGUUUGUCCUUUGAAGGGAAUCUCCUCUUAGCCCCUUUUUUAUUUAUUUUAAUCUAUAGCUGCAUUUAUAGAUGGCAAACAACUCCUGCAGCUUACUGCUUUAUUAGAAUUCUCCCAACCUGGCGGACGCUCACCAGGAAGCAGAAGCGUGAACAGACGUCCGCGGGUCCAGGGCUGGCGCCUCAAAUGUUAAUAAAAUCAAGGGGAAAUUGCUCGGUGUUUAUCUGUAAGAUGACAAAACGCCUGGACGUUGAUCCCAGACGCGUGCUAUAAGCUCACAAACGCACAAAUGACAUUUUAAAUGCUAAUUCCACAUGUGUGGGGGCUUAUUAGAUAAUAUGGACGGGCUUAGCACUGUUUUUUUUGUAAUGUUGAAUAUUAUAUCACAAGCAAAUGUAUGUUUUCUUAAAGGUGUACCUACUUUGAGUGUAAAGUGUUCCUACUCGUGUGUGAUGCUACACACAUAGAACUGUCAAUAAAGUCACGAUUUGGAGGAAAACAGA